rnacentral:rRNA from 1 species
UGUCAUUAGACCCUUAUUAAUGAUACAUCCUGCCCGGUGAUUUUAUUAAACGGCCGCGGUACCCUGACCGUGCAAAGGUAGCAUAAUCAUUUGCCUAUUAAUUGUAGGCUAGUAUGAAAGGACACACGCGAGUAACCCUGUCUCUAUUAAGCCACUAAAACUUUAUCUUUGAGUGAAGAAGCUCAAAUAAAACCGCAGGACAAGAAGACCCUAUAGAGCUUCACCUCAAAUAAUUUUAAAAAAAUUAUCUACGGUUCGGUUGGGGCGACCAGGGUAUAAAAAACAACCCUAAAUUUCUGCGAUCUCCAAAUCCUAAAAAGAUCCUUAUACAAGAUCAACGAAUCAAGCUACCUUAGGGAUAACAGGCUAAUCCUCUUUAAGAGCCCGUAUUAACAAGAGGGGUUGGCACCUCGAUGUUGGCUUAGGACUCCUCUAUGAUGCAGCAGUCAUAAUAAGUUGGUUUGUUCAACCAUUAAAAUCCU